UGGUGGAGUGAUUUGUCUGGUUAAUUCCGUUAACGAACGAGACCUCAGCCUGCUAAAUAGUUCCACGAACACUCUGUGUUUGCUUUGGAGCUUCUUAGAGGGACUGUCUGUAUCUAGCAGAAGGAAUUUUGAGGCAAUAACA
rnacentral:rRNA from 1 species